UACGGAGGGUGCAAACGUUGCUCGGAAUCAUUGGGCGUAAAGCGCGUGUAGGCGGCCCGGUAAGUCCGCUGUGAAAGUCGGGGGCUCAACCCUCGGAUGCCGGUGGAUACUGUCGGGCUAGAGUGCGGGAGAGGCGAGUGGAAUUCCUGGUGUAGCGGUGAAAUGCGCAGAUAUCAGGAGGAACACCAAUUGCGAAGGCAGCUCGCUGGAACGUAACUGACGCUGAGACGCGAAAGCGUGGGGAGCAAACAGG
rnacentral:rRNA from 1 species